rnacentral:ncRNA from 2 species
CUGAAGUGUUUGGGGGAACUCC